rnacentral:rRNA from 1 species
UACGUAGGAGGCAAGCGUUGUCCGGAAUUACUGGGCGUAAAGCGCGUGUAGGUGGUGGGACAAGUCUGCUGUGAAAGCGCCUGGCUUAACCGGGCGAGGUCGGCGGAAACUGUCCGACUCGAGGACGGUAGAGGGGGGUGGAAUUCCCGGUGUAGUGGUGAAAUGCGUAGAGAUCGGGAGGAACACCUGUGGCGAAGGCGGCCC